AGCCGCGCCCUCGGGGCCCUCUCCCGGGUUCUCGCGGGGCUCGGCGCCGGCGUGGUCCCUUUAACUCUCAUCAGACCCCUGCGUGCGUCGGAAGCCCCCCUUUCUAGAUGAGGAAACGAAGACAUCAGCAGUCCCAUAACCCCGGCGUGGGGUGACGCUGCCGGGCACCCAGAGACUGGCCCCGCCGCCCGCGCUGCGGGGUCUCGUGUCUCCUGGACGGUGGGCGUGCGCCACGUCAGGAGCGUCUGUCCAUCCGUGUCCGCCGUCGCCCCCUGUGCCCGUGUCCCGUCUCCUAACACGAGUGCGAAGCCGGAUGCCUUCACCCAGACCGGAGGGUCACGAGACCAGCCCUUCGGAGGAGGAGGAGAGGAUGGCGAGUGCGGGGGAAGAGGUCUCUGUGAGAGGGGGACGACUGCCUGGAAGGAGGGUCCCUGGCUUUGCGUCUCCCCAGGGGAGCGGAGAAAGGGCGGGAAGAGCCGCGCAGGGCUUCGGCCCCCGCCCUCCUGGCAGAGGAACAAGCAGAGGGAGAGACCGCCGGCCGGCCUCCCGAGGAGACGGGAGCCCUCACCACCCACCAGACUGCUCUCAGUAGAUCCCCUCACCCUCCUACAGCCCCCUUCACCUUCUGUAACUCCCCUCUAGGCCCAAUCAUAGCUGUGAGGUGGAAGAGGGCCUAAUCGCCUUGGAGUACAACUCCUUUACAUUUGAGUGGAAAGCUUGUUCAAGGGCACUCGAGUGGUCAGCAGUUUUGGGGGGAUGAGGAUUCUGAGGACAGGAUUUCUGCAAUCAAUCUCUUUGUGCACCCACACUAAAUCACACUGUAAAGUUCUUCCUGACAAUGACAGGCAUGAAGAGGUGAAACUAUUGCCUUGUCCUCCCUUCAGUUGCUGAUAGCAACUUCCUCCUUGCAGGGAUAAGUGAGUUUCCUUGGAGAAGUUGGUGAGAGCUACAGAACUGACAGACGGAGACUUCAGGGCUGGUCCUGUCAUCAUCCACCAGGCUGGGAGAACCUGACCUUGGGAGCCCUCCUGAGAUCCCACUAGACCUGCUGUCUCUUCCCUUGGGUGUUCCUUAGCAGCACCUGGAUGCCAUUUCAGGACUGACCAUCCAGCAUCUCUGGAGAUUGAAAUGAAAUGCUGACCUACAAUGGAAGGCAGCAACCCUCACACCCAGCCUAAGGAGUGCCAGGAAGCAAGUACCCUUUUACCUCCCAAGACUGUUGAUUUGUAGUAACCUUAAGACUCUGAGCUUUGUUAUCGAAACCUGCAAUAUCAGAGGUUUAGAGAAUUGGGUUGGUUCACUAAAAGUUGUAAACGAUGUCA